GUAAGAUAAUGUUGGACUAUUAAAUCCUAUAAAUAGUUCAAGUACUGAAGAGCAAGUUCCACAGAGCCAGGACAAGUGUGGGUAGUUAAGCCUUUCUUCCCUUUUCAUGCAUAUAUGAGGAAACAGGAUCAUGAUAAAGGAACACAUUUAAGCAAAGCUUCUUGUCUCAUUUUGUACUAAAAGUAAGAUUGUUUAGAGGUGCUCUCUGCACUUUUUCUACACUUUAAAUAUGAGUACAAUGAUGACAUACUGUGUCAUAUUGAAUUGAUUUGUUCCAUCACUGAAUUGAUUUAUUACAUACCAGCUUUGUUUCUGCUUGCUUCCUACAAUGUACUAGUACCUGUUGGAUGUGCUUUGAUGCAGAAUGCUGUUACCCAUUUUGAUUACCAACAGGCUCAUCAGGAAAAAAAGAAGUUUGAGGAAAAAUGUUUGAGGGAUCACAUGUGAUGCUUUGCCUCCUGCUCCAGAGUACCAGCAAUACCAGAACUAUUUAAAGCCUGUAGAACUUGAGGAUGUUUGCAGAGUACUUGGAAGAGAAGUAUACACUUCAGGGAAUAAAACUCUUACUUAUCAAAACGCUGACGUGAGCAGUGGACAUGAGCACAGCCUCUCUCUGCAGCAACAGACACAAAAGUGAAGCAGGACUCGGAUACAUUAAAGCUCAACUGCACUGGAGCUCAAUGCCAGCGUUUAUGGGCAUCCUUGACUUUCACACAUUGGCAUGGCAACCUGUAAAAGCUGCAUUUAUGUCCACGCAGGCACACAGGGAUAUGCUGUAACUAAAGAUGGGGUAGAGAUGUGACCUUUGGCUGUCUCCAACCCUACACUGCUUUCUCCUGUUCCACGCCAAAGCGUUGCUAAUCAGAAUCAAAUUAAUUUUUAAGGUGAGACCUGGUCAAAGUUGUGCCUGUAAUCAGACAUUUAUUACAGUUUUCAAAACCUGACUUUACUGUUUAAAAGAAGUGGAACAUGGUAAAAAAUUUCAGUCAAGUGUUUUGCUACAGUUACUAAGGCUGUUGCAUAUUUGUCUGGUGUUACUAAUCCAAACUUGAAAAGAUCUUAGGAAAAAUUAAGAGGAGGAAGAGACCUGCAUUUUUUGUUUAAUGGUUUCAGCCAUUCAGAGUAGAUAACAAGGCAAAAUUUCAGAGUGACUGUUUGAAAUAACAAUUUUGUUCUGUUCCUGAAAUGGAAUUAACAACUUGUAAAUUAAUAAUUUUGAAAGUUCUUAAUUGCCAGAUUCAGAAGCAUUCUAAUUCUGUAGUCCGAGCAUACAGUAAUAAAAUAAUUAAGCUGAAAAUA